GAGACCCGGCUGUGUACGUGAUGCAGUGCGACGCUUUGAGCCAACACCUUGUACGUCGGGAGUCGAUCUCUGGAGGGGCUGCCAAGGAUGUCUCUUCCAUCAUUGCCGCAGCUCGACUGGGCACUGGUGGUCGGGGACUUGGCAAUAACCGACAGGUAGGCACCCACUUGUGGCUUUUCGGUUCAAAAAGCCAAGCAGCACACGGCACGGCGGGGUCUUU
rnacentral:other from 1 species